rnacentral:rRNA from 1 species
AGUGAACGCUGGCGGCGUGCUUAACACAUGCAAGUCGAACGAGAACGGAUUAUAGCUUGCUAUAAUUGUCAGCUAAGUGGCGCACGGGUGAGUAAUGUAUAGGUAAUAUGCCUCUUACUAAGGGAUAACAAAUGGAAACGUUUGCUAAUACCUUAUACUCCUUAUUAACAGAAGUUAAUAAGGGAAAGAUUUAUUGGUAAGAGAUUAGCCUGUAUUGUAUCAGUUAGUUGGUGGGGUAAUGGCUUACCAAGACUAUGACACAUAACUGGUUUGAGAGGAUGAUCAGUCACACUGGAACUGAGACACGUUCCAGACUCCUACGGGAGGCAGCAGUGGGGAAUAUUGCACAAUGGACGGGAGUCUGAUGCAGCAACGCCGCGUGGAGGAUGACACAUUUCGGUGCGUAAACUCCUUUUAUAUGAGAAGAUAAUGACGGUAUUAUAUGAAUAAGCACCGGCUAACUCCGUGCCAGCCGCCGCAGUAA